rnacentral:rRNA from 1 species
UACGUAGGGUGCGAGCGUUGUCCGGAAUUAUUGGGCGUAAAGAGCUCGUAGGCGGUUUGUUGCGUCUAUCGUGAAAACCUGCAGCUUAACUGUGGGCUUGCGGUGGAUACGGGCAGACUUGAGUUCGGUAGGGGAGACUGGAAUUCCUGGUGUAGCGGUGAAAUGCGCAGAUAUCAGGAAGAACACCAACGGCGAAGGCAGCUCGCUGGGACGGAACUGACGCUGAGACGCGAAAGCGUGGGGAGCGAACAGG